rnacentral:rRNA from 1 species
CGUGCUUAACACAUGCAAGUCGAACGGAGCUUACUUAACUGAUUUCUUCGGAAUGAUGUUUUUUAAAGUUAGUGGCGGACGGGUGAGUAACGCGUGGGUAACCUGCGUUACACAGGGGGAUAGCAGUUGGAAACGACUGGUAAUACCGCAUACCUUACAUUAUGCGCAUGUUUGAUGUAAGAAAGAUUUUAUCGGUGUAAGAUGGACCCGCGUCUGAUUAGCUAGUUGGUGUGGUAACGGCAUACCAAGGCGACGAUCAGUAGCCGGCCUGAGAGGGUGAUCGGCCACAUUGGGACUGAGAUACGGCCCAGACUCCUACGGGAGGCAGCAGUGGGGAAUAUUGCACAAUGGAGGCAACUCUGAUGCAGCGACGCCGCGUGAGUGAAGAAGUAUUUCGGUAUGUAAAGCUCUAUCAGUAGGGAAGAUAAUGACGGUACCUACAGAAGAAGCCCCGGCUAAAUACGUGCCAGCCGCCGCAGUAA